CUACGGGAGGCAGCAGUGGGGAAUCUUGCGCAAUGGGCGAAAGCCUGACGCAGCAACGCCGCGUGUGUGAUGAAGGUCUUCGGAUCGUAAAGCACUGUCGCGAGGGACGAAUAAGGGGCGGGCUAACAUCCCGUUCCGAUGACGGUACCUCGAGAGGAAGCACCGGCUAACUCUGUGCCAGCAGCCGCGGUAAUACAGAGGGUGCAAGCGUUGUUCGGAAUUAUUGGGCGUAAAGCGCGUGUAGGCGGCUUUGUAAGUUGGGUGUGAAAGCCCUCGGCUUAACCGAGGAAGUGCGCCCAAAACUGCAUGGCUUGAGUACCGGAGAGGGUGGCGGAAUUCCCGGUGUAGAGGUGAAAUUCGUAGAUAUCGGGAGGAACACCAGCGGCGAAGGCGGCCACCUGGACGGAUACUGACGCUGAGACGCGAAAGCGUGGGGAGCAAACAGGAUUAGAUACCCUGGUAGA
rnacentral:rRNA from 1 species